rnacentral:rRNA from 1 species
UAAGAGACAGCAGUAGCCACGGUAAUACAGAGGAUGCAAGCGUUAUCCGGAAUGAUUGGGCGUAAAGCAUUUGUAGGUUGCUUUUCAAGUCUGUUGUCAAAUCCCCGGGCUCAACCCUAGACAGCAGUGGAAACUACCAAGCUGGAGUACGGUAGGGGCAGAGGGAAUUUCUGGUGGAGCGGUGAAAUGCAUUGAGAUCGAAAAGAACACCAACAGCGAAAGCACUCUGCUGGGCCGACACUGACACUGAGAGGCGAAAGUUAGGGGAGAAAAUUGGAUUAGAGACCCCCGUAGUCCCUGUCUCUUAUACA